GGUUAGGAGGGAAAGUACAACUAACAGGUUACUCUUUACACCAAGAGAAUGUAGUCAAUUCAAGAAGAAGAGAUGGUGAGGAUAGGUGGGGGGGGGGGGGGGGGGCGGGGCGAGGGGGGGUGGGAAGAAAAAUAAACAUGAGGAGGACAGAGAAAGGAGGAGGCUGCUUUUGGCCACGGAGCUCGCAACAACCCAUUGAUUUCGGAUUUGCGUGAUAACUGCACUCGGUGUAUACAUGUUAAUCCAUAAUAUUUAAAAAAAAUAUUAAAAAAACAGGAAUGGUCAUGAGGCUUUAAAAAAAAAACAGGAACGGUCGUGAGGCUUUUUUUUUUUUUUUCCUUUUCAUUAUUGGAGUAAGAGCUCCACGGACGGAUCCGGGUUAUCGUUCCGGUGCGGCAAGAAAAGAUGUCAAUAAGAUCAUCUUUGAUCCGAAUGAAGUUGCUUUUGGAUUGACUAUUUCAUAG